GGAUUGUGGCUCAGUGGUAGAGCACUCCUCUAGCAAGUGUGGGGCUCUGGGUUCCAUCCUCAGCACCA
rnacentral:tRNA from 1 species